CAGUCGCCGCGGGAAUACGUAGGUGGCAAGCGUUGUCCGGAAUUAUUGGGCGUAAAGGGCUCGCAGGCGGUUUCUUAAGUCUGAUGUGAAAGCCCCCGGCUCAACCGGGGAGGGUCAUUGGAAACUGGGAAACUUGAGUGCAGAAGAGGAGAGUGGAAUUCCACGUGUAGCGGUGAAAUGCGUAGAGAUGUGGAGGAACACCAGUGGCGAAGGCGACUCUCUGGUCUGUAACUGACGCUGAGGAGCGAAAGCGUGGGGAGCGAACAGGAUUAGAUACCCCUGUAGUCCUGUCUCUUAUACA
rnacentral:rRNA from 1 species